AUUGAACGCUGGCGGCAGGCCUAACACAUGCAAGUCGAGCGGAGCGGCGGACGGGUACGUAAUGCCUAGGAAUCUGCCUGGUAGUGGGGGCUAACGUCCUGAAACGGGCGCUAAUCCCGCAUACUCUCAGUUGAGCCUAUGUCGGAUUCGCUAGUUGGGGGGGUAAAGGCCUACAAAGGCCACGAUCCGGAACUGGUCUGAGAGGAUGAUCAGUCACACUGGAACUGAGACACGGUCCAGACUCCUACGUGAGGCAGCAGUGGGGAAUAUUGGACAAUGGGCGAAAGCCUGAGCCAGCCAUGCCGCGUGUAUGAAGAAGGCCUUCGGGUUGUAAAGUACUUUCAGCGGGGAAGCGUUACCCGCAGAAGAAGCACCGGCUAACUCCGUGCCAGCAGCCGCGGUAAUAC
rnacentral:rRNA from 1 species